AUUUUUUCUGUGUUGGUGUAAUGUACUCUGGUGAAUAUGAUGCUUGUGAUGUUACUCUGAGUGUAUCCACUCAGAGUAACACUCAGAGUAACAUCACAAGCAUCUUAUUCACCUGAGUACAUUACACCAACACAGAAAAUAUCAUGAUUACUA